rnacentral:pre_miRNA from 1 species
UGGCCCAUCAAAAUGUGUGUGUAACACACACAUUUUGAUGGGCCAAU